GGCUUAGUCGUACAGUGGCAGCACGCUCUCCCGGUAUGGGCGGAGUGCGGGUUCAACUCCUGCUUGAGGUCG